rnacentral:misc_RNA from 1 species
GAACUGCGAUAAGUAAUAUGAAUUGCAGAAUUCAGUGAAUCAUCGAGUCUUUGAACGCACAUUGCGCCCCCUGGCAUUCCGGGGGGCAUGCCUGUCCGAGCGUCAUUGCUGCCCUUCAAGCCCGGCUUGUGUGUUGGGUCGUCGUCCCCCCCGGGGGACGGACCCGAAAGGCAGCGGCGGCACCGUGUCCGGUCCUCGAGCGUAUGGGGCUUUGUCACCCGCUCGAUUAGGACCGGCCGGGCGCCCGCCGGCGUCAAACCCCAAUCUUUCUAAGGUUGACCUCGGAUCAGGUAGGGAUACCCGCUGAACUUAAGC